AUGACCUUCAUCAUCAUCUUCAUCUGGACUCUCACAGCAUUUGCUCAAGAGUGUAGAGGACAGAUCACCGUCACUCAGAGUCCCUCAAUGACAGCAGCUCAACCAGGACAAACUGUGAACAUCAACUGUAAAACCAGCACAGAUGUGUAUUAUCAUAGUUCUUAUGAACAUUUUUUAGCCUGGUACUUACAGAAACCUGGAGAAGCUCCUAAACUCCUGAUUUAUUUAGCAAGCACCCUCCAGUCAGGAACUCCAUCUAGAUUCAGUGGCAGUGGAUCUAACAGUGAUUUCACUCUGACCAUCAGUGGAGUCCAGACUGAAGAUGCUGGACAUUAUUACUGUCAGAGUUGGCACAUCAUCAACAGUAAAGAUGUGUUCACACAGUGAUAAAGAGUCGUACAAAAACCUCCGUCAGUCAGAGUCACAGUGACUGAACUGAUACUGCAGCUGCACUGUUAAAAAAAUAAACGUUAAAAAACAGUUAAAUGCAGGGCAGCACAGGGCGCCAAA